CCUACGGGAGGCUGCAGUGGGGAAUCUUGCGCAAUGGGCGAAAGCCUGACGCAGCAACGCCGCGUGUGUGAUGAAGGUCUUCGGAUCGUAAAGCACUGUCGGCAGGAACGAUGGUUACUCAGAAUAACAAGCUGAGUGAUUGACGGUACCUGCAAAGGAAGCACCGGCUAACUCUGUGCCAGCAGCCGCGGUAAUACAGAGGGUGCAAGCGUUGUUCGGAAUCAUUGGGCGUAAAGCGCACGUAGGCGGCAUUGCAAGUCAGGUGUGAAAGCCUG
rnacentral:rRNA from 1 species